CCUGUAGCUCAGUGGUCAGAGCAGGCGACUCAUAAUCGCUUGGUCGCGGGUUCGAGCCCCGCCGGG
rnacentral:tRNA from 1 species